AUUGAACGCUGGCGGCAGGCCUAACACAUGCAAGUCGAGCGGAGCGGCGGACGGGUGAGUAAUGCCUAGGAAUCUGCCUGGUAGUGGGGAAUGACGUCCGGCAACGGGCGCUAAUACCGCAUACUAUCAGAUGAGCCUAGGUCGGAUGAGCUAGUUGGUUGGGUAAAGGCCUACCAAGGCGACGGGCCGUAACUGGUCUGAGAGGAUGAUCAGUCACACUGGAACUGAGACACGGUCCAGACUCCUACGUGAGGCAGCAGUGGGGAAGAUUGGACAAUGGGCGAAAGCCGGAUGCAGCCAUGCCGCGUGUGUGAAGAAGGUCUUCGGAUUGUAAAGCACUGUAAGUUGGGAGGCGUUACCAGCAGAAUAAGCACCGGCUAACUCCGUGCCAGCAGCCGCGGUAAUAC
rnacentral:rRNA from 1 species